AGAAGUUGUGCCUGUUCCUGCAGGCAAAGUUCCAGCUGAGGUUGGGCAAUUUUGCGCUGCCAAUGGAGCUAAACCACUGCACAUCGACCUGAACUUCGUCCG